UACGGAGGGUGCAAGCGUUAAUCGGAAUUAUUGGGCGUAAAGAGCUUGUAGGCGGUUUGUCGCGUCUGCUGUGAAAAUCCGGGGCUCAACCCCGGACUUGCAGUGGGUACGGGCAGACUAGAGUGUGGUAGGGGAGACUGGAAUUCCUGGUGUAGCGGUGGAAAUGCGCAGAUAUCAGGAGGAACACCGGUGGCGAAGGCGGGUCUCUGGGCCGAUACUGACGCUGAGGAGCGAAAGCGUGGGGAGCGAACAGG
rnacentral:rRNA from 1 species